UUAUUAUUUACCCAUUUUAAAAUUAGUCUUAUAUUGUUAAUUUGAUCUUGAUAUUGUAAAAAUAUUGUCUCUUUAGAGUGGUUUGAAUAUGAUCUUGAUAAAACAAUGAAUUGAACUAGAUGACUUUGAAUUUUAUGAUAUCAUGGUUUCCUUAUGAUUAAAUGAUUAUGUGACAACAACUUCUCCAGGGUAAAUUUCAACGUUAUAUUUCUGCUUUAUUGAUCUUUAACAGUUAAGGGAAGAAAGUCGGAGGCUGGCUUUGGCUGCGAAAAGAGAAAAAAGAAAAGAGAAGAGAAGGAAGAAAAAGGAAGAACAAAGAAGGAAACUAGAAGAAAUUGAAGCCAAAAAUAAAGAGAACUUUGAACUCCAAGCUGCUCAAGAAAAAGAAAAGCUUAAAGUUGAAGAUGAGCCUGAAGUCUUGACAGAACCUCCAAGUGCCACAACCACUACUACCAUAGGUAUAUCUGCAACCUGGACAACUUUGGCAGGUUCUCAUGGUAAAAGAAAUAAUACCAUAACUACAACCAGUUCAAAGAGGAAAAACAGGAAAAAUAAAAUUACUCCAGAAAACGUUCAAAUUAUAUUUGAUGAUCCACUACCAAUUUCAUACAGUCAGCCAGAGAAGGUGAAUGGAGAGUCCAAGAGCAGCAGUACCAGCGAGAGUGGGGACAGUGAUAACAUGAGGAUUUCCAGCUGCAGCGAUGAAAGUAGUAACAGCAACAGCAGUCGUAAGAGUGACAAUCAUUCACCAGCUGUGGUCACUACCACUGUGAGCAGCAAAAAGCAGCCAUCAGUUCUUGUUACAUUUCCAAAGGAAGAGAGAAAAUCUGUUUCUGGCAAGGCUUCAAUAAA
rnacentral:sRNA from 1 species